UCGGAAGCAGGCUCCAGGCUCUGAGCUUGUCAGCACAGAGCCCUAUGCGGGGCUCAAACUCAGGAGCCCUGAGAUCAUGACCUGAGCCGAAGUCCGACACUCAACCAACUGAGCCACCCGGGCGCCCUUAGAAGCUUCAGGUCUAUUUAAAAUGGAAUCUCCAGGAAAAUGUAUCACUUUUAUCCUGUGAAUUUGGAUGCCGCUUACCACAGUAUCUUGAACCGAUCCUACUAGACUCCUGGUUGGUUGUGAAAUCAGACAUGUAGGUGUUGCCUUUUAUUUUCUUAAACAGAAGAACCGAACAGAAAAUAGGUUGCUCGUAUUGAUGGGCCGAAAAGACGAGCCAAUUGCUUUUUUCUUUUGCCCGAGAAUAAUAUAUGCUCAGACAAGAGAGCUCAGGACAGAGGAGCACUGGACGGUGUUCCCCACGCUAACCAGAACUCCGCCACCCAGGACCAGCCACGGCUACUGCUGUGGCGCGGGUCUUUCUGGCCUCUUUUCUAUACACAUGAGCAGGUAAAUGAAUAUACUCACGCUAUAUACGGUAAGUGGCUUUUUCUCUUGGUAAUACGUUGUUAAUGUUUUUUCUGUACCUUCUAGGACAUUUCUUGUUGUUGUAAAGGAUUUCAUCACAUGGAUGUGCACUGUCCUUAUAGAUAAUUAGGAAGAGGGGUCUUACCUAUUUCUGCCUAUGAUCUUCGAAAGGCCCAUAAUUCUAUGGACCUUCAUAAAAAGUAAAGAUGUAUUCCCAAGUCCACUAAAACUCUUUGGAGAACAAGAGUGAUGGGUACUAAACUCAAGUAGAAAAAGGAAAGAGUUCCUACUGAGAUUCUAAGUGAAAUACGUUUCAAAAGCUGUGAACAGUGGUAGCGGGGGGAGGCCCCGCGGGUGAGCCCACGCCAAGGUGAAGUCUUCAACACGCAAGGAUGAAGACGGGGCUAUGUUUCUGUAAGAUGGCUCCUGAGAGGGUACAACCCCCUGCUUCACAGGUAACGUUAGGAUCGCCUGUUAGUAGCCUACGAACUAAUCAGGGGAUUUUCUUCGUGGACUGUGUUCUCAUAUUUAUAAUAAGAAUGACCAAAGCAGAUGUAUCAUUAUGAAUUGAUUCUGCCUACUUCGGGGCAGUUCCAGAAAGAACACGGUAUGUCAGUCCUGGAGAGUGAUAAACGGCUAACAUUCCCAUCCCUGUCUAAUGAGGAAGGGAAGGAAAGAUUCCGGGAGUGGGGAUCCUGGAUUAGAUACGUUAUAUGCUGAUCUCGCUCAUCUUUUAUCGGAAGCGUUAUCCGAAGUAUACUCAAAACCCUCACGUACACGGGCACCAGAGUGCAGAGGGUCAGGAGACGAAGUUAUUCGACCAUCUACUCAUCUCGAUCAGGAAAGCGAGAACAUUAACUUUAUGAAGAUCAAGAUGUUUUGAGUGACCAUUCCCUUUGUUACAGCAGUAUACAAUGACACAAUUUUAAGUUCGUAAACCCCCUAAUGGGACCUAAAGCUCUUGGGACAUUUGUUUUCUUAGUCAUGUGCUUUUUAAACCAUGAAAGUUUCUGACCAGUUUGACUCCACUAUGACACUGGCACUUAUCAGUUCACUGCAGUGAGCAUUUCCAGGUGACCUACUAUGUGUCAAGCAACACGGGGAGGGUGUGAUCUCCGAUCGCACUGGCUGACGCUGUGACUCAGGAUCCCCGCGCGCCUUGAGCAAGGACCCGGUGCAGCGGGCGUGCGCAGGGGUGGGCGGGGAGGGGGUGAUCUGGCCCGGCUGCCUCACCUCGGCCCGCACUAUUCUGUCCACGAUGGUCUCCAGUAUUUCCAGCUUACUGCACUUCACGACGCCCUCAAAGUACUGUGAGCGGUGCUGAAGGGCCUGGGUCACUGUGAUAUCUAGGUUAUUGUACGUCUUCUCAGCAGCAAGGUUCUGUAAUAAAGGGACGGUGAAUUA